UACGUAGGUGGCAAGCGUUGUCCGGAAUUAUUGGGCGUAAAGCGCGCGCAGGCGGUCCUUUAAGUCUGAUGUGAAAGCCCACGGCUCAACCGUGGAGGGUCAUUGGAAACUGGGAGCCUUGAGUGCAGAAGAGGAAAGUGGAAUUCCAUGUGUAGCGGUGAAAUGCGUAGAGAUAUGGAGGAACACCAGUGGCGAAGGCGACUUUCUGGUCUGUAACUGACACUGAGGCGCGAAAGCGUGGGGAGCAAACAGG
rnacentral:rRNA from 1 species